UUUUGUUUUGUUUUGUUUUUUUUUUUUAUCUCUCUCUGCACCAAAAACUGGUGAAAGGCCAAGGCCAAGAAAAUCUUUAGACAAAAAAAAGAGGAAAGACCUCGAUGCCAAGAACCACAACUCUUCUGUCCUGGGCUAACCCUAUCUGCACGGCAGUGGUGACUCUAGAGGGUCUUUUGGAUGAUAACUGUCCUCUGCUCUCCACCCAGGGCCCAGAGCCCCUACUAUCUGCCCUUUACCUGAGCCCUGCCAUGCUUGCCCAGCCUGUGGAUCUUGGAAGCUGGUGAGAAACUCCCAAGCUAGGCUAAACCAGAAGAAGGUGCUAAGACGGCCACUUCUAAAAAUAGCCUGAGGGGCAGGUGAAACCAUCCCCUGGAGCCAAUAAGGAAAAGACUUGGUUAGACGUUAAAACAAACAAACAAACAAUAAACAAAAGCAGUCAUCUUAAAGGCAUCAAAGAGAUAACAAGUUCUGGGCAAAGUUAGUGACAGAGAAAAGAAGUCAAGAGAAUAAGCCCAGAUUUAAUUGCUGCUUUUUGUCUCAAGGGCACAGGUAAAAUCCAGGUGGAUCAGCUUAGAACCUGAGCUCAACUUUCGAUUGACUCACUGAUAAGAGUCACAGCCCAGGAUCCAGCCACCCGGAAGGAUCACUUUCUCAGAAUAAAGAAGGGCAGACCAGAAUUAAUCAAACCAACCACUGAUGGGCUUGUAGCUCACCUCCCCAGGGUCUCAGAAAACAUGAAGUAGUGAGGUUGAAGUGGGGCCGAGGUAUGUUAGUGCCGCCCUAGAGCUAUUUGUCAGGACAGGGAAAUACCUUGUCUGAGAGAAGACAGCAUCAUCUGGAGCUCUUGGAUGAUGUCUAACGUGGGCCAACCACCCUAUAAGCCCUUCCUCACCAAGAACUCCUAGUACAUUUCCGUCCAUUACAAAAUGCUUUUUAUAAAGUAAAAUAAAUCACAAAAGCUGUCCCACGGGGAUGCUGAUGCUGUCUGGACCAUAGGGCAAGACUCUCCAAACUCGCUGACCCUCACUCCCCUCUUUUCUGGGAUGAACCUGGAUCCAGAUGAAACUCUGUGGAAUCAGUUCUGUCUGCCCUAGAUGCUGCUUCUUGCUAAGUGAGGUAAAUAAGAAACAUUCUAGUUGGACCCAUUAAAACACCCCCCAACACACACACACACACACACACACACACACACACACACACACACACACUUUGCACUGUAAGGAGCUAUCAUGCAAUCUUAGCCUCUGAGGAACCCCUCUCCCCAGGAGAGAAGUGGGCACUAGAGAAGUAGCUCCUGGCUCUUUGUUAAGAUGGUUUCCCUGUGAGGUACUCAGACUACAUCCUACUUCUUAGUCACCUUUCUGAGCCAUGCCCUGGAGCUUCCUCAGUCCAGCAGUUGUCACUUUCUGCCUCCUGUAGUUAGCUUCAAUUAGCUUCAAGGCUGAUCACUUCUCGAGCUUUUGUUCUAGACAAGACAGGAAGUGACCACCCCAUCAUCUCUCCUGGAACUCUAAGCACGAACACAGAUUUUAAGUGUUUCAUUUAUCUGUGUCUUAGCGGCUUAAUGACUCUGUUUUACUCAGCAAAAUUCCUACAAAAAGCAGAAAUGGAGACUUGCUUUGUGCUCGCAGGUGUUCUCAGUUUCUAGAACAGUGCCUGGCAUGGAGCAGGACUCGGAGUCCACUUCCAGGGAAUGGGUGCGGUCACAUCCCCUCCCUCCCAUGCCCUUCCUGCCACGCUUGGCUCCUGUUCUUUCUAGAAGGCUGGGACCCAUCUUCCUGCUUCAUUUUCCUCUUCUUUUGUCUACUCCUUUUGUACAAGAUUCCCCUUCUUACAGCAAAGUGAUAGAUAACAAGACUAAAAAUAUUCCCAAAGUCCCAUGGAGCAUCUCGCGCUACAGCUGUCACUGUUACCAUCAAAAAUGAACCUUGGCUUGCUGCUCAAGUGCAGAAUCCUGAGGGGUAAGCAGAUGGAAACUUCUUGGCCCAUUCCAAACCUGCACUGACUGAGCGGUCACUGCAGGUAUGUAGCCAAAAAUAUGAGAGCUGUCUGAAUACCCAGCCACCUCUCAGAGAAACAACUAAGCUAUUUGCUUAGGGCAGGCACAGGAAUUUGACCGGAGCUUGGGGAGGGCUCCCAUGCCGAGGCUGAGAGAAGAGGAAUUAAUGGCCUACAGUAAAGAGGAAGGUGGGAAGUUUUAUUUAAUCUGGGUUGGGAGGGUCAAGGUGCAAUUGAAAGCAAAAGGCAGGCAGAAAGAGCAGAAUGAGCACAAACAGGAAGGUGGAUACUGACCUAGAAUAGAGAGACCCGUCCAUGACAACUAGACAGGAAGAAUGCUUACAAUAGCAAAAGCUCUAAGACUGUGAAUGUGUGUGUGCACGUGCGUACACGCGCGCCAUACAUAGGCUGGCUCUCCUCAGAACACCCUGCCAAAUCAUUCCACAAAAUCAAAUUACUAAUCCCUAAGCAUUGCAUCUUAAUCCCAGAACAAUGCCUUAAACAGACCUGUUACUGGCAAGAUCAAAGGACCCCUUGGUUCAAAGCCCUCUGGCCUCCAAGGAUACCUUGCAAGGUAAAAUUGCAUCAGAGUUCCCCAAACCAUAAAUCCCAAGGAAACCUAGCCCCAUCACUUCAAAGGGGCACUUGCCCUGAACAUUGACCUUGGAGAAACCCAUGCAGAAGGCAUGUGGCAUGUUCAAAACAAGUAUGAUUUGUUACGUAGAAACAAAAAUGGCCGUGGAUGAGGCAAGUAGAGCCAGAAGCAGGCUUAAAGCCUCCUGAGCUACAGUAAAUAGCGUAGACUUUUAAUCUGUUGGCAAUGGGAAGCUAUUGGAUAUCUGUCACCCAGAGGUCUCUACCUAUUCAGAACGUCUCUGGAAAUGUGGCCCCCUGAGAUGGUGUCUGAGGGUCCCCAGAGCAGUUAGAGGGCUCUGCAGGAGCAGCUUGUGCACAGAAGACCUUGUCAGGAAUGGGGUGCUUGAGAAGGAAGGGAAGCUCGGAGGCAAUGGCUGAAAGAGCAACAGGAGUCAGGGAGCAGGUGGCUGGUCCUCAAAGGACAAGACAGGCUGAAUCGAAAAUGGUGUAGAAAAUGUGGGGGAAGCAGGAUCCCAGAGGUCCCCAAAAGAAGCAAUGGAAUUAGGGAAUAUCCACUGGGAGUAAAAAUCUUAAAUCAGCUCAUAUAAGGAGCAGUGGUUUUCUUUUAAAAAAUAAAAAGGAACUAUUAUAAAACUAUUUUACAAUUUAGAGUUUUAUUUCUGAAAUGUAUUCACAUCCACAUUUUUUAAAAAGUCCCAUGAAUGCAUUUCAUAAAUAACUACAACAGUGCUGGAGAGAGGCUAGUGUGCCUUUGUUGUCUCUUCGUGUGUUUGUUUCUCAAAGCUUAACGUGUUGACAUAUGCCGGGCUAGUGAUGGACGCCUGACGCCCAACGUGGCAAGUCUCGGCCUCACCUUCAAAAGACAGAACAGAUGGACACAUGCCGAUCACGUGACCCGACUGACGGAGCUAAAACACAAAUCCCUUCCUAAAAUGCAGAGAUGAGAACUCCUUCUUAUCUUAGUAGAAACAAAACCUAGUCUGUCAGACGGGACACUGGUUUUGCAAACUGUGCUUGAAACAGCUGUCAGUGAAGGGGAUCUGGGUCAGCCUUUUACUGAACUGCUGAAAUGUGCCAAGAGUCUGAGGAUACUCUAGUGACUAAUCACUGUGAGGUUGAUACUAUCCUCAAGUUCCUCUUAAGAUUCAAAGUAGUCACCGGAUGAGUUUAAGUACUGAACUGCACCCAGGUAAUGACAAAAGUCAAUAUUGUAAGAAGAAAUGGUGAAUCUGAAACCGUUCUAAAAUUUACUGCUUGAAGUCCAUUUCCACAAAGAGGAAGAAACAAACCUGUCUGUAGCCAGUACUCCUCAAGCAGGAAACGUAAAGCCCUUUCGGAGAACACUUACUGCCUCCUGAGUGGACAGUCACAAAAUGUACACGUCACUUGGGCUCACUGACCCAUUCACUUCCUGUUUAAGUUAGGGCACGGAUUUUUGCAAACUACCCAUUGAGGAGGGCUGGGAUAUUAAAAUUCCCUCCACAUUACAGAAAAUGGCACCUGGAUUUAUUUUUUAAUUUUUAUGUAUAAAGGGGUGGGGAGUUCAAAAAAUAAGUCCAUGUCAUGACAAAAAAUACUUUGCAGAACUAUGGUGAGCCGGUCCAUUUACACACAGUAGUGAAGCCUAAGUGAAAGGAAUGGCAGCAAAGGGCGCUUGCGAGUUCAAUUUCCAUUUUUACAGUGCUUUGUAGCGCAAAAACGACCCGAAGUCUAUUUUUUUUCAAGGACAAGUGGCACUGUCCUGUUUUGAAUGAAAUUAAAUUCUAAUUUCUCUGUCAGAUGCCAUGAAAGAGAAGCCAACACAGGAAUCUGGUCUAAACCAAGCCCUGUGCACAGCAGGUACAGUGCUUAACCGAAUUCUGAGAAACAUGUUUGUGCUAAGGCUUGACGGAAAGGGGGGCCUGCGAGAAAUGGAGUUUCCAACGGAAAGGGCUCUCAAAAGCACAAAUCUAAAGUAUCAGUUGGAGAAUAAAGAAUGUCAGUUUUAUGACAGCUUUCACUGCUUAGCAAAUGAAGACUUUUCCAUAGCUGAAAUUACUGAGGGGGGGGGGGGAGAGAGAGAGAGAGAGAGAGAGAGAGAGAGAGAGAGAGAGAGAGAGAGAGAGAGAGAGGUGUAAUCUCCUUUCUCCUGAACCUUAGGGAGAAAAACCCCACACGACCUUAAUCUCAAGGCUUGUGUUACUUCUUUAGGUCGCCUGCCUCGCCCGCCCUUGCUAUGAAUGAAGCACACAAUAUGAGUGUACAGAGAAGGAAAGGGAGGGAAUUCAUUCACGGAACACAGCCAUCUAAUGCACUUUUUUUUUCAUAUGCUGGUCUCAACUCUUAAUAUAGAACCUGCACAGCCUGCUUUCUGUGUGGAAUUUCCCCCAGUCUUAGAGAACUCCUAGACCCCAGCACUGAGGAGGUCAGUCUGUGAUUUCCAGAUCUUAAGGUGGUCUGAUGACAUCACAGCUUAGAUACUGCAAGGUUGGGUGGACAGAGAUUUUAUGGUGACUGAGUACUGAGAGCACUAAAUGAAUUGGGAAUGACUGAGCAGUGGUUUGCGCUUUGCAAAGCGCGGCAGCUGUUUGACUCCCUAGCCCCCACCCCUCCCCGCUGGACAGAUCCUGCGGCUUUCCUUGGUGGGUUUUUUUUUUCCUUUUUUGGUUUUUGUGGGUUUCUUUUUAUAGUUCUUCUAACGACCAGAUCUGUAUUCCUGAGUAAGAAUAUAAAAAAGUAAUCUUCUACCAAAAUUACAAGGAAAAAAACAUUGACUGACUCACAAUACAAAUGUUUUACAAAGCAUUACAGGGGUGUCGCUGGUGCGCGCAGGCCCUCACUGUUGAUUGGCCAGACGGCAGCAGGGUUUGCCUAAGAACGGCAGGGAAAUGCUUCAGACCCCAUCUCCUAAGUAGCUAGGGAGCCCUGAGUCAAGUCUAUCACCCGGAUUGUACAACUUACACGUAUUACGAUCUCCUGGCCACUGGCAGGAAGGUGGCGGGAUACUUUUCCAUCUGGGAAUGCAUAUUUCUAUUUAAAUGUUCCUAGAACACGUUUUUCCACAUGUUUUCUUGCUCCAGAGUUUCAGCUUUCAUUGAAGUCUGAAUGUGGAGUUUAUUUGAGUACAACCCUCUGAGCCACAUGUACUCACUCAUAAACCUUGCCUACUGGCCGCCCGUCAGGCUCGCCAGCCUUCUGCAUAGGUGAAAGUUAUUGGACUCAAGCUCCUCCCUUCAGACAGGUGUCUUGAGAGGGAGACCUCUGGCCCAAGUGCUAUCGCUUGAUUUUGUUUUUUAAUUUUUUUGGGGGGGUGUCGGGGGGUGUUUGGUUUUUUUCAAGAAAGGGUUUUUCUGUGAACCCCUGGCUGUCCUGGAACUCCCUACGUAGCCCAGGCUGGCCUCGGGCCACCACCACCUGGCAUAUCACUUUGACUUUUUAGUAGUUGGCUGAGAUGGACUUUCAGAAACACUAAUGAACUUAACCUCAACGUUAGGGUGCUUCUGAUUUGCAAACCACUGGAGAAUCUUCUCAAUCUUUGGAAUCCCGGAGGCAAUUGCAGCUUUUCUUAAGCUGGAUCCAUUAUGGAAAAACUUGGAGACGCUGUCCUUCAGAGUUUCUUUUGUUAAGCUUCCAUAGUGCGGGUUUUGUGUCUUAGAGCCAUCAGAGUGAGCAUGAUAAGCCUGUGCUGAGCAGCACCAGGAACCCAGUCCUCUCCAUCAGCUGACCUGCUGGGAGUGUUCUCUGAUGAGGCAAAGGGAUCCUAGCUCUUCUGCCCUGUCCAUUACACAGGGUCUGUUAAACAUGCGAAUUACAUCUUUCCGUUUUAGGUACACAUUGUUUGGUACAGUCAGAGGGGAUGAGGCUCAGUUGUGUUUGGGCAGGUGUUUUCACAGCUCCAAAGGGACAACAUCAGCACACACUCAGUGGUGCAAACUAUUUUAAAAACUCCAGCUCUCUCAGACCCUUGGUGGCUGCUGUAACUGCUUCAGACCUGUGUCUUCCAGAUGUUGGAGUAUGCCUAGUCUGUCCUUGCCUCCAUAGGCGGCUGGCUACCUGUCUGGAAGCCAGCAGAUGACCUCUGAGUGGACACAGAGUGGCAGGCUUGGUGACCCUCCAAGUGGAACAGAUAUAGGGCCCUUCUCAGCGUCAGGCAUCGGAGGUAGCUUUCUUGACCUUCACAAUGCUCUUCUGAAAUGCUAGCUUCCUCCUUCCGGGCUUGAGCUAACGGAAGAAUCUUGUCUGGUUUGGACACAGAAGUAUGGCACCCGUGUCAGGAGGCCUGAUUUUAAACACCCCCUUAUGAGGUAACCUCUGCCUAGUCACUCUCACUAGCGCCCUGCCCUUUGCAGGCUCUUCUGGGCUCACCCUCCUGCUGUCCUGGUUCUGUUAGGAUUCUGCCAGCUUCCUAACCACUAUCUUCCUCUUCACCAGUCUCCUACAGUGGGAACCAGUCCUUGGGCAGUUUAAUGACUAGGCCGUGAGCAAAAGUCUAUAGUUUCCCGUACACGUGAAUUUCCCCAACACACACACACACACACACACACACACACACACACACACACACACACACACACACGAGAGUCUGUUCCCAUCCUUUUGGACUAGCCUCAUAAUUCUUCACCUCAACUUGAAAAGUUCGAACUUGUUACAUUUUUAUACUGCAGUUGAAUGCUUCUCUUUCUCUCCUCUGCAUCUAUUUCUUCCUGGGGCCAGUUCUGUGUCACUGCUUGGCUAGUUUCCAAAUGCUUUGCUGUAUUCGUUUUCUCUAGACAGUGAGUGACAGUGGCCCCCACUUUCUCUAACCUAGACUGAACCCCUCCACUCCUGGCCCUACCCCUAGAGCUUUCAAACAUGUCUUGAUGAACUAAUCCUUCCACCUUCCCUGCCAAGUCCUGGUCUGUUCGGACUGAACCAAUUCAUAGGGAACCUAGUGGUGAAGCUGUUUUCCUUGUGGUUUGCUCCAGGCCUAGGUCACACAUAGUGGGAAGGACUCUAAGGCAAGACUCCUUCUCACAAAAACCACCUGCCAAGGCAGGUGAGCCCUGCAGACACACAUGGCCUCCUCCAAUAUCUAGAGAUGCCUCUCCUCUUUCUUAAUCAGUUUUCCCUGCCUGUAGGUUGGGGUGAAGGAAAGGGGAAUCUGUAGUACUUUUUGAAGUCUUUUCUACUCAUCAGAAAAAUCCAGCAGAGCAAACAUCUGCAUGGCGGGGGAGAAGUUAACUCUCAUCCUACCAGGACCUCAUCCCAAGGAAAACUACUAACAUGUUAGAGAAGAAAUACAGCAGCCUUAAACUCAAACGCUGAUAGAACGUAGUCUAUGACCAGGACUAUGGAAUAGACACCUGAGCACAAAACAAAGUGGAUCCAAAGCUCACACGACAGCUGUUUCAGAGACAGGGUAAGGAGCCUCAGGGUCGCCGGGGGCUGCGAUGGUUGAGAGAAAGGCAGGUGGUAGGGUUGAUGGGUGGGGUCAUGAGCAAGAAGCUCUAGUCCUCAUAUGGCAGGUCACCCCACAAGGGCAGCAGCUGCCUCUCUCGGGCCUCGCCCGGUGUCAGACAAAGUAUAUUCACUGAGCUGCUCUCUGCCAGGGGAGAGUGGAGAACAGGUUCAGAGUUGGAACACUGUUUGCUUUCAGAUGUUCCAAACAACAGAAAAGCCCAUGUUCCCCAGUUGUGCGACGAACGUUAAAAUGAAUCACCACUGUGCCUGUAUCAUACCGCCAUCAUUUUUCAGACUAGGAAUGUACAAGGGGGCGGGGCGGAAGAAAAGGCUACUCAGCUGUGCUCUUCUUGGGAGCCAUAACCGAGGUCUUCACCUCCCUCGCUUCUGCAGGAGGCCUCUCAGUCUUAGCUUUUGGUGACAUAGGUUAGACUUGGCCCUCGAAAGUACAGUUGGAAGGCUCCCCUUUAAAUAUUUAUGGACAUGAAUGAAAUAGCACAUGCUGUGUGAGGUAAAGAGGGGGGAGGGGAAAAAGAAAACCAGGUCAUAUGCUCCAACUCUUGAGAGGAUAAAAGAUGCCAGGGCAAAAAUACGAAAGCUCCGAAGGUCGUUUGCAGAGAGAGCUGAUCACUCACUGCUCAGGCCCUGAGGCCUCAUGUCUCCCUCCUAGCACUUUAUUCUCUGUUGUCUCAGGCAGCGAAGUAUUUGGUGUCUCUUCCCCACUUCCCCUGCCCACCACCACGACCACCACCUCGGCAGGCCAAGUCGGUUCCUUGGGCCUGCCCAUCGGAAUGGUGCCCCCUGACACAAGUGAGCAUUCCACAAGGUUUUCAGUGAUGGGGGUGAGGAGGAUGAAGGCACAGCAUCAGAGGGAAAAGAAGCCCAAACACCACUGAGAUUAACUGUUUUGCCUUCUUUAUAUGCUAUGUAUUCAUUGUCCAAAAUUUGGUCAAAAAGAUUACUUUUUUUUCAGGACCUUUUGACCAAAAGUCAGCAGACUUUGGUAAACCAACCUCAAAUGUUUCCUCCUAACUUCAAGCUGACUUCCAUGUCACUAAUCCAGAGAACACCAGGACUCGUUGGUGUCUGCAAUAGUGGUCACUACACAACUUCCAGCACUACGCUGGGACACACUGCCUUAUACGUCUUUAAAUGCUCAUUUAAAAAUAAUGAGGCUGAGUGUUCGAAAUGCCGGUGCCUCUCAAGUCCAAGCAGGGUUCCCACAUCCACUUCCCUCCCUUCUGUGGGAAGAAGAUGGCAGAGCUGGUGUCAUGGGCUGCUUUCCCCCACAAAAGCAGUAUUCUGAGAGUGCCUACAAUAAGGAAAACAGUGACAUGUGCAAGAGAAAGACACUUGACCUGUGCAAUGUUCCUUCCAACCCAGCUUUGCUCCUCCGGGGCUGAGCCCACUCUGCUGCCUCUAGAAGCAGGACAUAAACUGCAGAAUCCUCUCUACCUCCAGCUCCCGGCUUACCCUUUGUCCAGGGCCACCACCCUCCCAAGCAACACUCACUACCAAUUUCAAACUCUUGCUUCACAGAAAGAGAACUGCCUCUGAAGAACACGCCCCUGACCCUUACUUACCCAGUACUCCCUGCACCUCUGAAAUCACUCCACGGACCUGCUCCAGAUAACUACCCACCCCGCUGCACGUCUGGAUCCUGGCCUUGGACAGAAUCUGGUGCUGGGUAGGGACACAAAACUGUGCAGAGCACCCAGGCCUCCAAAAGCAGGCAUCCUAACUCUGCCAGUUGGAGACCUGGGUAAACUCAUUACCAAAGCCCAGGUUUCCUCACUUGAAAGUAGAAAUGAUAAUACAGUCACUAUUUUAUACUGGCUGCCAUACACAAUGACACGACUGAAUGCCUGGUAGUGUCAAGAAGUACAAUGAAAGUCAUUAACUCGUCCAGUUCACAAUACCCAGGCAAGACAAACUCUGACUCUGUUAUGUUACAGACAAGGAGGGGGCUCACAGAGGUCAAGAGAUGCAUCUAAGGCCACACAAGGUGGCAGGCCGUAGCGUCUGUAAGGUCCUACCCAGGGAAACUGGCUUUGCAGUCCCUGGCUCAGCUUACUGUGCAAAAUGAGUCUCUCUAUAACCCAUGUGAAAUGCUUCCUGCGUUGCCUAAAACACAGUAGAAGCUCAAUAAAUAGAGGCUAGCAUAUGCCAGGAUACAGGUGCCUGAGUAAAGCAGACGCCCGUCGUGACGGGGCUCUUGUAUGGAGCUCCCGCCCCUCCCAACUCCAGUACCUGUUGUUGUAAAAAAUAAUAAAAAUAAAAAAAUAAAAAUGAAACGGUAAAUGUUUUUCUCUGGGUGUUUUACCCUGCUUGGGUUCCACACCUCAGUGCCCCAGAUAUCUGCUGGAUAUCUUGGCGGAAACACAGCCCAGCCACACACUUUCUUACACUGAGACUCUUACAUAUAAAAACAGACCACACAAUAAUCUUAGAUCCAAUUGGUAAGAUAUAAUUGCCCACUUAAACAUACAAAGCCCGGUACCAUCUAUCCCUUGCACCUUUUAUUUACCAAGUCUCCAGCUUCUCCUUCUCCCACAAUGACUCCUUGCUUCUCCUCUCUCUCUCUCUCUUUUUUUACUCACUCUCCCAAAUAUAUCAACUCUUUUAUGCUUUAGUUUCUCCUUCUCUUAAUCUUCCCUUAAAUCUAGUGAAUGCACUGUCCACCUGGAUAGCCCAGCAGGCCACCGCCCUGUGCCCACAGGUCCGUGAACACCUGUAGGACACGUAACGGAGCCCACCUCAAUUGUUAACCGCCCCACACCCUCACAACAUGGGCCGGUCACUCCUCCCUGCCUUGUGAGAGCUGAGGAUUUCAGCUGAGUAUCUCAGCAAAGUAUUGGGUAGAUGGACAGUCCAGAGGGAGCCUUAAUUCCCAGCAAUAUUCCAUGCCCCGGCUCAGCUUCCAAAGGAAAAGGAGAUUAUUCCGUUUCAUUAGCUGCUUUAUGCAGUGCUUGUGCAGGCUGGCUGUUCUUCACUUUGUUUCCACAACAUUUCCAGUAAUCAUGUCCCAUGCACGGUGAUUCCGGCUAAAGAAAUUCCGGGGGUGGGGGGACUUGGGUGCUUCCUGAGGCCUUGAGGGGAUGAGGAGGGAGAAGCAGCUCAGAUAAUGGCAUAGACGUCAAGGCAGGCAGAAUCCGUAACACCCCAAGCUCUUGUAACUUGGAAAAAUGGGCAUUGUGGAGGAAAGCACGCGGUUUUGAAGCAGCAGCAAUCCCAACACUCAUCCACACACCCUCAAUAGGGGAAAAAAGAAGACACAGACCAGUCCCACAAACCAGACUCCCCUGGGCCAAAGGCUAGGGUCACGUCCCAAGCACCACGUGGCUUAUUACUUGAAACUCGACACAAUAGGUUUGCAUCUUGGUGAGUGCAAAGCCAAAAUAAGCACAGCCAAGACCUAGAAAAGUGGAGGGAAAAAAUGCAUCGCCUGCAGCGGGCAAUACACAUAAUUUUAAAAGUCACACCUUCUCCAAACAGAGGAAGCAUAGGAUUUUAUUGUGGAGGGGC
ensembl:lncRNA